ensembl:lncRNA
CUUUUGCCUGUUUGAAUUUACAGACACCUCGAAACAUGAAGAUGUAAUGGCUUCUAAGAGACGUAUCAAGGUCUGAUGCCUGAGACUUAUCACUGAUUUUCAAAAUGAAAAGUGUUGGUUGCUUCUGUGCAGAUAUGGAACGUGGUUAAAGUUUUAUAAUGGAAAAUCUGACAGGCAGUUAACUAAUCCAUGAGUCAUAUUUCGUAAGUGCCUAAAGGUCUCUGAUGUUCGACCUUCAUUUGAUACCCUUGCCAUCAUGGAGUUAUACAUAACCCAUCUGAAGAACAUUCUUUAUAUAGAUGACUGCAUGCUGCCCUUUUAUACCUGCAAGAAUGAGCGCUGCACUUACUGAAACAGGGAAGUCUACUGCCUGCCUUUCCACCCCUCUCUCUCUGUGGCUGUUUACAGAACUGCAGAGGUACGUUGCACGAAACUGACUUAAAUGACAGCAGUGGAAGACUUUCUGCUUAGUUUAAGUCCUCUGUAGGGCCUAGCUGAAAGGUAAGGAGAGGGGUGGGCAGAUGUUUUUGGAUUCUGUUUGCUUUUAUUUUGAAAGAUUUAAUCAUCAGUACAGCUCUAAUAAUGUACAUAGCAUUGGAGCUACCAAUACUAACAGAACUCUGGUGUUUUUACCUGUCUGUAGCUCAGUUGGGCAUAAGGCAGGCCAGGCAGAUACAGAAUGAGACAACCUUUUGUCAGAUGAUCCCAAACGGGAAACCCACCUUUACUGACAACAGUGGCAGUGUGCCAGCAUUAGCAGUGUCGAGGUGUUUAUAGAAAGUCUUGAUGUGUAGAGGGCCCUUCUGGAGAACCUACUACUUUAUUCCUCAGCCAAAGGGUAGAAAAGCAACUAUUUGCUUUUUUGGGUACCAUAAGGAACUUCUCAAGUUGCCCAGUAUGACAGUAAAGAAUAUUGGCAUCGCUGUUAUUUUCAAAGCUAAAAUAAGGCAGACACAUGACUUCAGUAAGCACAUGUGAAGUUUGCAUAUCAUAAAUCAUUGCAAUAAAGAAACCAAAACAAAAUAGUAGCGUGUCGUUAAAGCUGGAAUAUGUUUUCCAUUAAAAAAAUUUCCUUUAGGUUUGAUUUGGCUUCUUUUUCACACCUGUGGAACAGUAGAGUAUCUCAGGAAUAGCUCAUUGCCAUUGUGAGACACAAAGUUCCAAUCUACAUGAAUGGACCCACGUACUGUAUAAAGUACAGCAGAAGGUCAUCUUAUUUUUCAAACACUCCAACAACAGCAGCCUUUACUGCACUACCAAAUGGUAGGCAACAAUUAGAACAGCUGGGAAGACAAAUCAGAAAAAAGAAAGUGGAGGAAAAGAGCUGUGUUUACUUUGGCUGCCAUUUUAAGAAGCGCACCCUUUUCCAUAAUAACAAUUUUGUAAUUGUGUUUUAAGAUCACAUCAGACAUUAGGGGUGAUACAUGUGCAGCAUGUGAGAUUCAUGCUGUGUGCUGAGAACUGCCCAGUGAGGGUCUGGCACAGUGGGAGGGGAAAGACGUGCAGCCUGCCUGUAGGCACCAGCAUGGAGGUUAGUCAUCCUGCUGAGUCAACAGGAGACACCAGCACCUCCAAAGGGUGCUUCUGCCUACUUGUCAUCUAAAGUUAGACAGCUAAAGUUGGUUGCUAAAAAGGAGCUGAGAUGAGGGAAAGGGUUUCACAGCAGAUGUAUCCGCCCCUCUGUCAGCAGUUCUACCUCUUCACCCACCUCUCUGCAUUUGCAUAGAGAAUGAUUCCUGGCUGGUAUUUUCAUGGAGUGAAUUCCCACUUAUCAGAACAUGAUAAUAGCUCGUGUUCCUUAUUUUCAGAGGUCUAGCUGUACAAGUAUUGACUUGUCAGUCACAAAUUUCCAGGCAUCUAGGCUCUGUUGCAACUAUCAGGAAGAGUUAGGGAUUUUCCAUCCUUGCAAAGAACUUUCCAAGAAAGUCAUCAGAAACAGUUGGAUAAACACACAGUGAAACUUGUAAAACUCCUGGCAAACUGACAGCACAGCCAGAAUUAGAAACUCUGAGCUUUUUUUUUUUUCUGAUGUGAUGCUGGUCACGUGUCUGGUGUUGAGAUAAACCUGGUGGAAGCAGCGAGGCCUAAACUCUAGGAGCCUUCAGUUUAGAGGCCUUUCCAUCCAGUUCUACUGUCUUAUGCCACAGCUUUGAGGUGUCUGAAAGUGUGCUGAAGGAUGCGCGUUGGUGUCAUUUGGGGUUCCUGCAGAAAGAAGGGCCCAACUACACCAAUCCUAUCAGCAGGCUAGGCCUGUUGAAACAAAUGCAACAUAAUAAGAUGCACUGCAACACUUGUCUGGUGGCCUGAAGCACUGCUUUCCCCAUUUGGCCUGCAGUACCCACUGAAGUCAGUGUAAUGAUCUCCAGCAGUUUAUCCUGGCUUUGGAUCAUGGCAUUCAUAGCAAACGUUUGUUUCUGAGUGCCAAGAAGACAGAGGAACUGUGUUGUACAACUGUUCCACAACACACUGCACUCUUAUUUGGGCUGAUUUUCUGUAUUUUUAAAAAUGUUUUGCUUUAUAAAAAGUCAUUUUCUUACUUUAAUCUCAGAAGAGAAUUUUCCAUUCUGUUCACCCUCCCUCUUUUUAUUACAGCAUUUGCUAUAAUUAAGCGUUAAAUUGUAAGAACAUCAUUACAUGGUUCUCUCUUUUUCCAAACUAUUCCUGGCACUGAGAAUUAAAAGAAAAUGUACCUUUUUAGUUCUGUGUGUAGCUCCACUGGCUUAUUCUCAUCUUUUGAUAGUGCUUUUCAGGCUGUCAACUUCCCCUUAUCCUCCUUGUUUCCUGAUUCCCUGAGCUUGUGUAGAAACUGAUGCUGCGGCAGGGCAAGGUAAAGAACUGAAAAAUAAGUGAAGAAUUGUGACAGAAGAACAGGCGUUGCCCCAGGGACUCAUAUACUAAAACAUCUUGAAAAAAUCUUCUGAAAAACAGACCAGUUGUGAGUUGACAGUAUCCUUUUAAGAACAGUUUAUGUUGAAAGGUCCUAUGACCAAGUUUUGGCCAAGCACAAGUGUUAAUGAGUUUUUUGAAGUGAAAAGCAUUUAUAUAGACAAAAAUAGAUAGUACUGACAUGUCUCACAGUCAUUGUUUACAAUUUCUGUGUGAUCCCUUGUCCAGAUUUACAAUGAACACUUGCUGUCCCAGCAGAACUUAAAACGUUUAUGGUUUUCUCUUUAAUGCUAUAAUUAAAAACAGGAUGAUUUUCAUGGGACUAGAAUAAUAUGUAAUUCUUGUGAGAGCUCUAUCUUUUAAGCAGCCUUAUCUAAGGUAUAAUCCUCACUGACCUAAGCAUGCAGAGACAUUUUUUACACUUCCUUAUGUCUUCAUUGAGCAAUUAUACACCCUUAGGGUUAUUUCAACCUGAUAUCUUUAGAUAUCUAAUCUCUCACUAGUUCUUCACAUUUUGUGGAUGAAUGGAUGCUCCUUAUCGUGCAACAAAAAGACCAGUCUGGCGUCCCUAGGGCAGACCAUGCAUUACAGCAGAACUCAGAGAGGCGUAAUUAUAGAGGACAGGUAGAAAGUUAGCUCCUCGAAUGGGAAUUUCUUUGCACUGGAAUACUUACCUAUUUUGAUGUCUGAUGUUUAAUUAGCACUGUUCCUCUACAAAUACAUUUCUGCCAUGCGGAAACUUUUAACUUGCUUUUAAAAGUUUUGUUCUGAAAAUGGUUCAUGUAAGGUAUUUGAACCUGCUUUGUCUAGUAGUAUUAAUAACCUGGGGCAGACAGUGUUUAUAUGGUACCAAGCACCAUGAUGGCACUUAGUAAAUAAUGAAAUAAAUCACAGGCUUUGUUUCUGUUUAAACACUGUGCUUGACCUCUGUGGAUAUCUUCUGGAUCCUGCUCAACAGCCUCAUUUGGGUGCAACUGGAUAUUGUGCCAAUUUUAUUCCAGCUCCAUUAACGUAUGGCAACAAUACAGACAGUACAUCGCCUGACAAAGAACUCAUAGUCCUCCUCUGGAUUUAUGUAGCAAGAUUUUGGCAGUGGGGUGGCCUGCAAGAAGCCAGCAGCUGCCCCGUGUCAGAUCACAGCCCUUGUAGGAGCAGCCCAGGCCUGAGCUGCAGCCCAUGGAGAGCAGCCUGCAGAGGGGCAGGAGGGCUGAGGGAGCUGCCGCCUGUGGGGAACCGUGUGGAGCAGUGCCUGAAGGGUGGGCUCCAUGGUGCGGAGCUGUGUUGGAACAGUGCUGGGAGAGCUGCAGCAUGUGGAAAGCCCAUGUGGGAUCAGACCAGGAAGGAUGCCAUCCCAUGGGACGGACCCACACAGAACAGAAGCAGAGAGUGAUCAUGGAAGAGCAGAAGACAUGAAGCUUUAUGGACUGACCGCAGCCCCCUUUCCCUAUUCCCCUGUGCUCGUUGAGGGAAGGAGGUAGGAGUUGAGCCUGAGAAAAGGUGGGUGGAGGAGAGGUGUUGUCAGUCUGUUUUUAUUUCUCAUUGCCCUAUUACUAAUAGGCCAUAAAUAAAAUAAAUCUUCCCCAAGUAGCCUAUUUUGCUUGUGACAGUAAUCACUGAGUGGUCUCCCUAUCUUUCUCUCAACCGAUGAGCUUUUCCAUUGUAUUUUCUCUUUCUGAAGAGAAGUGAGAGAGCAGCUUGGUGAGCACCUAGUGACCUGCCAAUGUUAUCCCACCACAAAAACAAUAAAAUCCUAAGUCCUUGAGCCUGCACUAAGAAUACAGAGUCAUAGAAUCUCAAGGUUGGAAAGGACCUACAAGAUCAUAUAGUUCAACUGUUCUCCCAUUACCCUUGCUACCACAAGCCACUAAACCGUAUCUCUUAGCUCCUCAUCCAGACACCUCUUGAACACCACCAGGGAUAGUGACUCCACCACCUCCCUGAGCAGGCCAUUGCAGUGCCUGACCGCUCUCUGAGAGAAAAAGUUUUUCCUUGUGUCUAAUAUCCACCAGGACUCCUAAUUUGUGUACAGGUAGAUGAGUAAAGUAGAAAAGGAAAGUGAUGAAUGCAUCCAAAGCAACAAUUACAGCACAGAGGAACCAUUGUGUCCAAACUCACUGCCCUGCUCCAGGCUUUGAGAUGUAUUCUGAAAAUACAGUUACUCUACCGGUGAUGGAUGGGGUACCCAAGCACAUGAAAGCCAACGUAGAAUUGAUGGUGUGAAGAAAACUCAUGUUAGUUAACUGUUUUAAAGUACAGAGUGGAGAGAAAUUGGAAGGAUAAGUGUUAACUGCACUGUACAAUGUUGGCCUUCCAGACCCACCUGCAGGUGCAGAAGCAGAGGGUGGACGUGCUGUAGAGAGGAACUGUGGGCUUUCCUUAGAACAGCCUGAGAGCAUUUCAGUAACCCCAGCGCUUAUGAUACGUCCCAGGGAAAUCAUACUGCAGCUGACUGCCUAGGUCACAUAUGUUUUUAAUAGAAACAUUGAAAAUUGUUUCAAGAUUGAGGCGUGUACAUGUUAAACGUUGAGGAGCUGAAGAACACAUAGAACUGUACUAAAUUGGUUUCUCAUACAGGCUGACAAAACACUCGGGAUGCAUCCUAAUCCCAAGUGCUCCCAUAAAAGCCUGCGUAUCCUUGUCCUCUCCAACCACCAAAUCAAUCUUAAACUUUUAGGCGAGGUUGCUGAACUUGCAGUCUGAUUUAAUCACUUUUCCGUCAGGAAUUGGCAAAGCUGAGAAAUAGUCUGUGGCUAACUUCAGCGUGUUUUAUAUGUUUGUGAUAUCUGUACUUUUCUAUUUUCAACGUAUAACUAAUAAAAAAAAUAAUCCCCAUUAUGCAUUUGUUAUGGAAUAAUAAUACUUACAGGAAUCAAAAGAUUACUACUAUAUGUCUUCUUUACUGCAGAAGGAGUUACAAUGAGGAGCCCUGAGGUGGCCCAGAGGGCAGGAAAGGACAACAUUCAAAACUCCAGCAACCAGUGAAAGAGGAAUUAAGGUAUUACUCACCGAAGCCUCUACAAAACCAGGCUUAAAUGCAGUUGGAAGCCUUUGCCAACUCUGGAACUCAAAUUAAAGUCUGCUAUCCCAGAAGCAAUAGCAGCCAGAGGGAAUUGGGAAGGGAUCAAGGAAGAGUGGGGUGGGAGACAAAAUCUCAAAGACCACCAAGAUGAGAGGUAUUCACCACCUUAGGCAUUAUCACACGAAGGCUGCAUGCCCUGCGGAGCCUUGAUUGCCCAACAGAAGUUAAUAUGUUGAGCACAGGGUUUCUUGGUCAGUUAUGGAGGAGGCCAAGCUAGACAAUCUGAGUCUGAAUAGUUUACAACGUGGAGUUUGAGUUUGAGCACCCUGCUGCUUGCUCUGUGAUAGUAGCUAUAGCAGUACUGAGUGGUAAAUGAGUGAGUAACGCAAGCUGGCAGAGCUGAGGCUGCAGUAAGAGGCACAUGCAUAUCUCGAUGGUUCAGGCAUGCCCCAUGUCAGCCGUGAAUUCUGCAGUUUGUGUUAAUAAGUGGAGCAUGCAAGUUGUCUGCUUGCCAUAGGGUGAGUGGCAGCCAGGCAGCCUGCAAAAAUGGAUGUCGUGGGGGCACCGAAACAAGGAGCUGAACGUACUAUCUUGAAAGAAAUCUCUACAGAAAGAAAAAAGGGAGAUACCAUUCUGCAUGUCUGGGCUAGUGUGAAUUCAUCAGGCUUUGUGUUUGAAUGGGAGCCAGGUGUAGCGUACAAGUAACUCCUGUUUGCUCUGCUUGACCUAAAUCCAAGUUUUGCUUUGUCAGGUUUUGUCCGACAUGUGUUCUGUUUCCCUACUGCGUAGUAACAGCGCUAGAGGCUGGGUGUUAGCACUGGCAAUCUGAUGAUUCAGUCACUCAAGUAUGAAGGCCAUACUGUGGCAAUAGGGAGGAAGUGAGGACGUGUAACCUUACCAUGUGUUUUGUGGUGGUCGAAGGUUUCAGUUCAUGCUGAAAGAAUUCUUAUUUGUGAAAUUUCAAAAGGAUUAAAUGCAGACUGUCCUUGCAUUCUAGACGGCAGUCAGGCACCACAAGCAACCUGCAUCUCUGCCAACAAUGCAUUUGGGGAUAUAAUGCCUUGUUCAGUUAUUUAUAAAUAGGCAUUUUCCAGGAUCGACACCUACCAGAGCCCAGCCAUCCACCUCCACUGCCUCCCUUUCCUUGGCAGCCAUUCCUGCAGCAGAAAUGCAUGGGUGGCAAGAGUCCUCCAGCUGUCCUCAUCUUCAGUCUCACUGGUUUGGGGGUGUUGUGGUGGUAAGAGAAGCAUCUGCUAUUCGAGACCCUGUCUUAAACAGCCACAUUGCCAUGAAUAAGUUUCCAGUGCUAAUAGUCAGGAACUGUAGCAGAUAGGAAGACUGCCAGCUCUUGGAUACACACUUCUGUUUGGGUCACAAGAGGAAGUCACCCUCUUGUACAAUAUCUGUGCAAACACCAAAUCCUACUCACCUCUGAUGUUCACAACAAGUUUGAGCUAAGCAAAGCACUCUACCCAUGGACAAUGCUAAGAUGCUGGUCAUCUCAGAAGAAGAUCAAGCGAGCUUGAUGUUGAAGGGAGAGUGUGAUAUAAUUGAUUGUGAGAUAUGAUGAGAUAAAUCAGGCAAUUGAAAUUACUCUUGGGUCCCAAACAUGGGUUGUAAGAUUUUUCCAAGCAGUGAAGACAUUCAGCGCGCUGCACAUUUCAGAGAUUGAGGUUUGAAACCUAACUAAACAAAUAAUGAAAAUUAAAAAAUAAAAAUAAAACCAAUAAUGAAAUGGAACAUUGUUGUGGUUUAACUCUGUUGGGCAGCUCAGCACCACACAGCUGCUCACUCACUCUCCCCACGUAGGAUUGGGGAGAGAAUUGGAAAGGUAAGCAAAACAAGGAAUUCAUUUACAGUUUCCCAUUGGCAGGCGGGUGUUCAGCCACAUCAGGAAAGCAGGGCUGAUCACCUGUAACAGUUUCUUGGGAAGAUAAAUUCCAUUACUUUGAAUGUUCCAGCCAUCCUCCUUCUUUCCCCUGCUGUUUUGUUGCUAACCAUGAUGACAUAUGGUAUGGGACAUCCCUUUGGCUAAUCUGGGUUGGCUGUCCUGGCUGUGUGUCCUCCUGACUCCUUGUGUCUCCCCAGCUCCUCAUUGCAGAGCAGUGUAAGAAGUGGAGAUGUCCUUGGCUGUGUGUAGCACAGCUCAGCAACAACUGAAAUGUCGGUGUGUUAUCACUGCUACUCAUAGAAUUGUGGAAUGGCCUUGGGUUGAAAAGGACCUCAAAGAUCAUUGAGUUUCAACCCCCCUGCUAUGUGCAGGGUCACCAACCACCAGACCAGGCUGCCCAGAGCCACAUCCAGCCUGGCCUUGAAUGCCUCCAGGGAUGGGGCAUCCACAACCUCUCUCUAUUUUCAUUGCAGAUCCAAAACACGGCAUCAUACAAGCCUCUGCAAAGAAAAUUAACUCUAUCCCAGCCAAAAUAUGACAAAUAUAAAAUCUACAAACCAAAGAAAAAAGGUGGCGACACGUCACAGGGAAGGGAUAAAAGCAACACUUUUGGUCUGAUUAGGUGUAAAACACAUAAUGUUCCCAGUGUUUUUUCUCCAUUCCAAGUCAAGAAGUAUGAAGAGGAAAAUCUUAGUGUAUGCUCCCCUUUGUGCAUUGCACCACAUAGAUACGUGAAGGAAGCCAAGCUCACAUACCAUGUAGGUAUUGUAGUGACAUGCAGGUGUCACUACAGUGUGACAGUUAGAACUAUUGCCACUCCCAGAAGAACAAGGAAAUAUUCAUAAUGUGACCACGGAGAUGGGGGAAGAAGUGGCUGUAUCUUGACAACCCCAGAUCAAAUGUUAAUUCUAAGCAAAAGUUCAUUCUAUUAUAGGUUGUCAGGUGCCAAAUAAGAGGCCAAAAACAUAUCUUGAAAGCCAGAGAAUAAUUGCCCAUGAUAUCUGGAUCAAUAUCUCAGUACACAGUGCUCCAGGCACAGAGGGUUACCAGCUCUACUGUGAGGGAACUAAGAGAAAAAAAAUUCAGUGCAUU